rnacentral:rRNA from 1 species
AAACUCAAAGGAAUUGACGGGGACCCGCACAAGCGGUGGAUGAUGUGGUUUAAUUCGAUGCAACGCGAAAAACCUUACCUACCCUUGACAUGUCUGGAAUCCUGAAGAGAUUUGGGAGUGCUCGAAAGAGAGCCAGAACACAGGUGCUGCAUGGCCGUCGUCAGCUCGUGUCGUGAGAUGUUGGGUUAAGUCCCGCAACGAGCGCAACCCUUGUCAUUAGUUGCUACGAAAGGGCACUCUAAUGAGACUGCCGGUGACAAACCGGAGGAAGGUGGGGAUGACGUCAGGUCAUCAUGGCCCUUAUGGGUAGGGCUACACACGUCAUACAAUGGCCGGGACAGAGGGCUGCCAACCCGCGAGGGGGAGCUAAUCCCAGAAACCCGGUCGUAGUCCGGAUCGUAGUCUGCAACUCGACUGCGUGAAGUCGGAAUCGCUAGUAAUCGCGGAUCAGCUUGCCGCGGUGAAUACGUUCCCGGGUCUUGUACACACCGCCCGUCACACCAUGGGAGCGGGUUCUGCCAGAAGUAGUUAGCCUAACCGCAAGGGGGGCGAUUACCACGGCAGGGUUCGUGACUGGGGUGAAGUCGUAACAAGGUAGCCGUAUCGGAAGGUGCGGCUGGAUCACCUCCUU